rnacentral:rRNA from 1 species
AUGCCAAAAGCGAUCAAGGAUAGACGAUGCGAUGCACCACCAUUUGAUCUCGACAUAGACGGCGACAGUGAAGCCAGCACGCCCAUCAAGAAAGAUGGAAAUGGCAGCCCGCUUUCACCUACAGCGGCAACUAAGGCAUACUGUGACAACCUCGUUGGACAACUAAUGAUGCUCAAUGAUGAGAUCGGGGACACCGAGGGGCACACUGUGUUUGGACAAGUGAAUGGUAUGCCUAUUAUCAAAACCAAGGUUGCUCACACCAAGUUCACAGAAGACCCAUGGUCCAGUAACCGUACAAUGUGCACACAUGGUGAAGUUGUCCGGAAAGCCAUCAGGGACUGGAUGCGAUCAAGAACACAAUUCCACCUAUCAAGGGAUUGGGUAUCGCACCCUGCCCCGCGGUUUAUUGCUGUAAGUGGCAACGCCAUCAAGUCUCAAAUAUGCGACGGUGCUGAAAUCGACCACGAGCUCGGGUCCUUGAUCAUACGUCGGAUGGCACAGAUGGAGUCACAUGCUCACCGCGCCACCCCUGACGAACAAUACCGCUUGAUCCUCGAGCCCGACUUCUCGUCCCAUGCCAUUGCAGGAGAAAACACCACCAGAAUCAUGUCAAUACAAAGACAAUCCACUCGAGUAGAUGUCAAAUGCAAUAUUUCAAACUGCCGGAUGGUUACCAUCCCUGCAGUCAUGCAACAUGGGUGGUCUAGCUUCAAUUGA